rnacentral:rRNA from 1 species
AUGCGGUAUCUACCUGCCGUUCCAAGUAAAUUUGCAUGUGCCAAAUCUAAACCUUCAAAUAAACAUUCUGUUUUGUAUGCUCGAAUAGCUCAUGUAUCAACAAAGGAUGUCCUUAUCUUCCGUGUUAGGCGGGUUAUUCUCAAGAGGAGUGGACUCCGCUCCUCACUCAUGAGAAAAUGGCUGGUCACCGGGAUGCCCAGUCCCAUGCUUUAUGCAAACUAUAUCAAAAUUAAUUGGAAACCAAACUCCCCCUGGGACCUGAUGUAUGUUGGAGGCACUCGUUGUUUCGAGCAAGCCAUGGAUUGA